rnacentral:rRNA from 1 species
GAUGAACGCUGGCGGCGUGCCUAAUACAUGCAAGUCGAGCGAACAGACGAGGAGCUUGCUCCUCUGACGUUAGCGGCGGACGGGUGAGUAACACGUGGAUAACCUACUUAUAAUACUGGGAUAACUUCGGGAAACCGGAGCUAAUACCGGAUAAUAUAUUGAACCGCAUGGUUCACUAGUGAAAGACGGUUUUGCUGUCACUUAUAGAUGGAUCCACGCCGCAUUAGCGAGUUGGUAAGGUAACGGCUUACCAAGGCUACGAUGCGUAGCCGACCUGAGAGGGUGAUCAGCCACACUGGAACUGAGACACGGUCCAGACUCCUACGGGAGGCAGCAGUAGGGAAUCUUACGCAAUGGGCGAAAGCCUGACGGAGCAACGCCGCGCGGGUGAUGAAGGUCUUCGGAUCGUAAAACUCUGUUAUUAGGGAAGAACAAAUGUGUAAGUAACCAUGCACGUCUUGACGGUACCUAAUCAGAAAGCCACGGCUAACUACGUG